ensembl:lncRNA
CUUGUGUCACCUGUGAGAUGCAGAGAACAUUGUGGACUUGGAAGUGAUGCUCUAAGGAUUAAUGAGAAAAUGCAGGUGAUGCACGCAGCACAUGGAGGGCACAUAGGAAAUAUAAAUGCUAGCUCUUGUUAUCAGUAUAGCAGUAAGCAGGUUGACCAGCUGGCUGGGAUAGUUCUGGGUCAGCAGACUCAGAUCUGCAAGCAGUAUCUAUCUCGGAUCCUCCCCCUAAAUUGACACAUUCUGAGGCUGAAUUUGAUCCAAGGAUCACCUUGAACUUGGCUUUUGAAGGGUUUGUUACCACUGCAAUUCAAUUCCCUGAUUGCGUGGGUAACAGAAGCACCCAGGAAGAGUACAGAUUGGCAGGGAUCCAGAGGACGGUGGAAGAGAGACUCAGGUUCUUAUUCAUGAAGUGAGAACAUAGAUUUUUGAUUUGAAAUGUUUCUUCUUUUCUAAAGUGGUCAAAUCAGACUCUAAAUUGCUGAAAAAAACUGAAGAUGAGAGGCAGAAUGACAAAAAGACCCUGUAGAAGGUCCUGGAGCUGAAUUGACCCCAGCCCCCCAGGGAGACAGGCAAUUUCUUUAAGAAGCUGAGCAGACAAGACGAUUUGAUGGUAACACCAGGUGCCCAUGGUCAUCACCCAAACAGUUCUCAGGUUGAGACAACAUGGGGACAGGGUGAGUGCUCAGCAGAAGACCAGAAACAGGGAGGACAGUGAAGCUGAAACGGGUGUUCUUCUGACUGGCUUCUCACAGGUUUAUUGAUUAAAGUUGAGUCUCCUACAAUGAACAAUGAAAGAAAAGGGCCUUCAUCAAGGAGAAAAGGAAGGAAAUAGAAUUCAGAGAACUGGCCCAGGACCCUUGCAACACCUGGCAAGUACAUCAUCUCAUUGAGCAAUGAAGAAGGACAUGGUGGCCCUCCUAUAAUUAAUCACAGUUCAUUAUGAUGUCAUAGUCAACAUAACCAAGUGCUUAUGAUAAACCUGACUCUGUGCUUUAUGGUCUUGACUCAUUCAAUCUGUUAAUCACAUUAACUGGAACAACUCCAAAAAGUGGGAGGAAGAAAGUGAGGCCCAUAGGCAUGCACUGACAUGGGGUCACACAGCUGCUGAGAGCGGAGAGCUGGGGCUUGAACCCACAUAGUCCUUCCGUAAUUAUCUACUCCACUACCCACCUCCUCACUUGAGUGGAUUCUGCCAUGUGGGCCUCCCAGGUUUAGGUUAUGACCUGGACACUGGAGAAACUGAACUGAGACUCAGCUGGGCACAGGCCCAACAGCACGGCUGAGUGGAGUGAAAAGCAGGCUUGCUGGGGUGAAGGAUGACCAGAGCAGCUUCCCACCUGGAUCCCUCUGUCUCCUGUCUUUCUCUCAUCAUGGCCACAGGCAGCCUGUGGAAGAGCAUUACCAGAAAAUCAGGAAAGAAAGAGACAGCCCUCUGUUAAAGAGAAACCCAAAGGCCCCAGAUGACAUCUCCUGUACUAAAGCCUCUGCUGACAGAUCUGACAACUAUAGUUUGCCCUUCCCCAGGAAGGUAAUGGUACUAAGCCAGUCUGGAAUUUCCUGGUCAGCACCAAUGAGAUCAUCUAUCACGGGGCCAUCUCCAUUUCCCCCACCAAGGGAUGAAGAGGUAACCUGCAUGAUAGACCUUCAUCCCCUGCCUCUGCCCCCAAGAAGGUGACCUGGUCUGAAACAAUCCUUUCUUGUCUUUUGCUAAAGAGCUUCCUUGCCUCACCCUCCUCCUGCCUAUAAAAACCAUCCAUUUUGUGUAAUUCCUCUGAGCAUCCUCUACUCACUAGGUGGGAUGCUGCUGCAUUCUUUAAUCAUUGAAUAAAAC